AAUUGCUGACGACAUUUUGAAUCAAAUAAAUGUUGAAAGUUGUAUUGGUCAUAAUCCUGGUAUAACUGCUAUGUGGAAAGAUGAAAGACAACGAAGACGAGAUAUUGGACUAUCUUCACAAGUUGCUCUUCCUGUUUCACAAGGUAGUGAUGAUGAACAUGAUGAAGAUAUUGAUGAAGAUAAAGAAUCAAUAUUAAUAUCACAGCCAUUUUGGAAAGAUGA